UACGAAGGGUGCAAGCGUUACUCGGAAUUACUGGGCGUAAAGCGUGCGUAGGCGGUUUGUUAAGUCCGUUGUGAAAGCCCUGGGCUCAACCUGGGGAAUUGCAGUGGAUACUGGCGAGCUAGAGUGCGGUAGAGGAUGGUGGAAUUCCCGGUGUAGCGGUGAAAUGCGUAGAGAUCGGGAGGAACACCCGUGGCGAAGGCGGCCAUCUGGACCAGCACUGACGCUGAGGCACGAAAGCGUGGGGAGCAAACAGGG
rnacentral:rRNA from 1 species